CCUACGGGAGGCAGCAGUAGGGAAUUUUCGGCAAUGGAGGAAACUCUGACCGAGCAACGCCGCGUGAAUGACGAAGUACUUCGGUAUGUAAAGUUCUUUUAUCAAGGAAGAAUGACUCGUGGAAAAACGAGAGUGACGGUACUUGAUGAAUAAGCCCCGGCUAACUAUGUGCCAGCAGCCGCGGUAAU
rnacentral:rRNA from 1 species